GAUGAUCCGGUGCUUGCACCGGGGAUUAGUGGCGAACGGGUGAGUAACACGUGAGUAACCUGCCCUUAACUCUGGGAUAAGCCUGGGAAACUGGGUCUAAUACCGGAUAUGACUCCUCAUCGCAUGGUGGGGGGUGGAAAGCUUUAUUGUGGUUUUGGAUGGACUCGCGGCCUAUCAGCUUGUUGGUGAGGUAAUGGCUCACCAAGGCGACGACGGGUAGCCGGCCUGAGAGGGUGACCGGCCACACUGGGACUGAGACACGGCCCAGACUCCUACGGGAGGCAGCAGUGGGGAAUAUUGCACAAUGGGCGCAAGCCUGAUGCAGCGACGCCGCGUGAGGGAUGACGGCCUUCGGGUUGUAAACCUCUUUCAGUAGGGAAGAAGCGAAAGUGACGGUACCUGCAGAAGAAGCGCCGGCUAACUACGUGCCAGCAGCCGCGGUAAUACG
rnacentral:rRNA from 1 species